rnacentral:rRNA from 1 species
ACGGAAUAGAUACCCAGAUAGUCCAUGCCGUAAACGAUGAGUGCUAAGUGUUAGGGGGUUUCCGCCCCUUAGUGCUGCAGCUAACGCAUUAAGCACUCCGCCUGGGGAGUACGACCGCAAGGUUGAAACUCAAAGGAAUUGACGGGGGCCCGCACAAGCGGUGGAGCAUGUGGUUUAAUUCGAAGCAACGCGAAGAACCUUACCAGGUCUUGACAUCCCAGUGACCACUCUAGAGAUAGAGUUUUCCCUUCGGGGACAUUGGUGACAGGUGGUGCAUGGUUGUCGUCAGCUUGUGUCGUGAGAUGUUGGGUUAAGUCCCGCAACGAGCGCAACCCUUAAUCUUAGUUGCCAUCAUUUAGUUGGGCACUCUAAGGUGACUGCCGGUGACAAACCGGAGGAAGGUGGGGAAGACGUCAAAUCAUCAUGCCCCUUAUGACCUGGGCUACACACGUGCUACAAUGGACGGUACAAAGAGUCGCUAACUCGCGAGAGCACGCUAAUCUCAUAAAACCGUUCUCAGUUCGGAUUGUAGGCUGC